rnacentral:rRNA from 1 species
UAGGGAAUCUUCCACAAUGGGCGGCAAGCCUGAUGGAGCAACACCGCGUGAGUGAAGAAGGGUUUCGGCUCGUAAAGCUCUGUUGUUAAAGAAGAACACGUAUGAGAGUAACUGUUCAUACGUUGACGGUAUUUAACCAGAAAGUCACGGCUAACUACGUGCCAU